UGUGUCCAAACUUUUGACUGGUACUCUACUUUUGGUCAUGUAGUGUAACUAGCUAGCUACACGUUACCUAAAUAUCCAUGCGCUGGUGGGCUAACGUUAGCUAGAAUGUCCCCACGUGGAAAAGUGUGACUACAUGAACGGUGAGCUAGCAUUAACUAGCUGGCUAGCUAUUGUAGCUCACAAAGGACUUGUUGGCUCAAUGUUUCCCAUAGAAAACACAUGGUUUUGUUCCACGAGUGCAUAUGUUGCAUAUGAUUUAAACAAAUUCCCUGUGAAAUCAGUUAUACAUGUCAGCAGGGAUGGAAAUUAAGCUAGCCCGGGGCUAGUACUUUUCAGACUGGGCUAGUAGAAAAUGGGCCAAACUAGCUUGACACAGCAGUAACAUUUUGCCUUUACAAACAUCAAAUGCCACAGAAUUUAGGAUCUGAAUGUUACCCGUGCUAGUAGAAAUCACGGACUGCUGGCCAUUGCCCCAAAUCCCUGCAUGUCAGUCCCUUUCAGACACCCCUCCCUCAUCACUGUUGAUCCUCCUUAGUGACCUCACGGCUUAGGGUUUUAACUUCCCUCUUGAGAAUGUUAAUCAGAAGUACAGUAGUAUAGCUCAUCGCAAUACUUCACCUCAUUGGGCAAAUAGUACCCUAGACUGUCCUGUCAGGUGAUUGGACCGGAAACCCAGUGACAACACUCGGAUCUGCAGUUACCAUUUUCAUGAUGGGAAAGAGAAAUGGCCCUGUAUUUACCAGACAAGGUGUCUCAUCCACCAUGGCAGAAGAGGAAGAUCCAGACUGUUAAUUUCAGAGGAAAUAACAAACAAUGAGGCAUGAGGAUUGGGAGAUGAGGGACAACUUGUCACAUUGUCCAAGUCCCAACAGGAGAGGUUCCCUCAGACCAUCCGGUGCAUAGACAUCCUGUUCCAGUGUGAUCCGAGCGCGAGCAUCCAGUUGUAGAGACUACAGCAGAUCGAGCCUGUGGACGGACAGACAUGAGCCGUGACAUGCAGAACAUCAGGCUCCCCCCACGAGAAGCAGUGCAUGAUCAAUGUCACCCUCAGCAAGGUACAGGCAGGGACGACUGGGGCCUUCAGCAAGUAAGACACGGGAGGUUUUUACGCUGGAUGGGGACGGAUGCUUUGGUGGUCUAAACAAUGAAGAAGCAGGUGUCGCUUCCAGGGAUGUGGAGCUGACCUUUGACCUGGUGCCUGUAAGGAUGGUCUUCACAGAGGCGACAUCACACCCAUCCAAUGACUGUGAUCUGAGGACCCAUUUUAGCAGCGACGGAGUAACGCGCUUGGAUCUAACUGCUCCAUAAUUGCUGGCCGUCAACCUCCCUCUCUUCAUGGUGUGCCAUGUUGGGGUUGCUGUGCUGUCCAACUGACAGCGCCAUGCCAACCAGGAUGCCUGCAUGCCGCAGGUGCCUUUGUUAUUAUUUUUUUAACAAUGUCUGGUACAGACUGGGAUAACAGGGAGGGUAGCGGUUGUUCUGGCUCAGGUUCAAGGAGCCAUGCCAUUCCACUGAACCUGCCCCGGAGACGGUUCCUUAGCCACUAAAGAUCGUCCUCUGUGGGCUUUCGGGACAGAGGGUUGUAGUCUUCGGCCAGGUACAGAUCCCCCACUGACUGCAACUGGUUGGGCCACGGCUGGCUUCCUCCACUGGCAUUCCACAUCAGUACGGCCGAUAUUGUGAACCGUUAAAAUAGGCUGCAUGGCUACACUGGUGAUCUCCAUGGGGUCAUUCUCAUGUGGUAGAGAGAAUUCUCCUAUUUCUCCUAUUUACUUAAUUUUCCAUUGCAGAAUAUAUUCCUCACCUUUUCUGGUCGCGACGGGUUCAUAUUCCCGAAGGAGCCGUUCAACAAAUUACCAUGUACAUCUCUCAUUUAAUUGGACCAAGUAGGCUACGAAAUAGAUCAAUUAUAUGUAUUUGAAGUUUUGCAAUAUCAUAGGCAGCGCGGUAUAUAAUAUCGGUAUACAGUCACAUUUAACAGCAGAUCUUUUAUAUUGAAGUCGCCUAUGUACUGUAUCAAGUUCGUUUCUAGUUUUUAUUGUCGCGUGCACAAGUACAGUGAAAUGCCUUUUUCUUGCUCGCUCAUUCCCGGCAUUCCAGCCUGGGGGACGCACAAUUGGCCCAGCGUCGGCCGGGUUUGGCCGGUAUAGGCCGUCAUUGUAAAUAAGAAUUUGUUCUUGACUGACUUGCCUAGUUAAAUAAAGGUUAAAAAAUGUAAACAAUUUAGCAAUGAAUAUCAGUAGUACUGUAAAGACAUAUAUACAAAGUCAACUAGAAGAGAAAUAAAAUAAAACUGUGACUACUAUAAGUACUGUAAUUGAAAAAACAAUGUGCCCUAUAACAUUUCAGAAUUCGCGGGCCAUCAUCAUAUUUCAGCCCAGCCUCACAUUCAAUUCGCGCAUAUAUGUACAAAAUGUAUUUCAGAAGAUUUCGUGCGUUU